AUUGAAUUUCGGGAGGAUUUUCAAACCACUACUGCCACCCCACCAAAGUUUCCUGGAGGAGGAGGAGGAGGAGGAAGAAGAAGAGAUAAUAAUACUAAGAAGAAGGAUGAA
rnacentral:ribozyme from 1 species